GAUGAAGAACGCAGCGAAAUGCGAUAAGUAAUGUGAAUUGCAGAAUUCAGUGAAUCAUCGAAUCUUUGAACGCACCUUGCGCUCCUUGGUAUUCCGGGGGGCAUGCCUGUCCGAGCGUCAUUGCUGCCCUCAAGCACGGCUUGUGUGUUGGGCCUCCGUCCUCCUCCCGGGGGACGGGCCCGAAAGGCAGCGGCGGCACCGCGUCCGGUCCUCGAGCGUAUGGGGCUUCGUCACCCGCUCUUGUAGGCCCGGCCGGCGCUUGCCGACACAUCAAUCUUUUUUCCAGGUUGACCUCGGAUCAGGUAGGGAUACCCGCUGAACUUAAGCAUAUCAAUAAGCGGAGGA
rnacentral:misc_RNA from 1 species